AGGCUGUGAAGCGGAGUAACUGUCAACGAGUGGACGGCAUACUAAUAAGCCCAGGGAAGAAGAGUCAGACCCAGUGCCAGCGCAGGGGAAACGCAUCUAAUCCAGAACAGCAGACACAGCUCCUCUCCCAUGGAACACCCAGAGCAGACAUUGCCAGUCGAUCCCAGCACCCUUUCCCCGGGAGCCUGGGCUCAGCCUCAAGACUUUGCUUCCGCUUCACAAAGCUCUGCACAGCCAGUUCUCAUCAAUUGGAGUUGGUCCAAAAUAUGGAAACUCUUUGCUCUGCCUGACCCAAACCAUUCCUCUUUCCCAUAACAAUUCUGACAUUUAAAAACAGCAGAAUUCCCCAACACUCAUCCCCGGGAAAAGAAAUUUGGCAUUGUUGGUACUUUCAACUCCUGACCCUGGUCAGCUGUUGAGUCAACUUGUGGUUGAGUCUGAGCCCCAUUUCUGCAGACAGAAAGACCGCAUUUGCGUUUCUGAGUCUCAGGUUUAGGAUGAAUUUUGUAUAGUCACUGUAACAAAUUACUGCAAACGUAGUGGCUUAAAAUAAAACAAAUCCAUUAGCUUACAAUUCCAGAGAUUAAAAGUCCA
rnacentral:lncRNA from 1 species